rnacentral:rRNA from 1 species
UACAGAGGUCUCAAGCGUUGUUCGGAUUCAUUGGGCGUAAAGGGUGCGUAGGCGGCGCGGUAAGUCGGGUGUGAAAUCUUGGAGCUCAACUCAAGAAAUGCACUCGAUACUUGGUGACUAGAGGACCGGAGAGGAUAGUGGAAUUCCCAGUGUAGUGGUGAAAUACGGUAGAGAUUGGGAAGAACACCAGUGGCGAAGGCGGCUAUCUGGACGGUUCUGACGCUAAGACGCGAAAGCGUGGGGAGCAAACAGG